AAGGGCAUCCAUACCACCUGCAGUUCAGGCAAGGCAACCUGGUGGGAUCAUCUGAAAUAGGCUUGGGUCUGGCCAGUGCUUGGAUGGGAGACCAACUACGAAAGCAGGGUUGCUGCUG
rnacentral:rRNA from 1 species